AGGCACAUAGCUAAGUUGGUUAGAGCACCACCUUGACAUGGUGGGGGUCGUUGGUUCGAGUCCAAUCGUGCCUACCA
rnacentral:tRNA from 1 species